GAGUAACACGUGGAUAACCUACCUAUAAGACUGGGAUAACUUCGGGAAACCGGAGCUAAUACCGGAUAAUAUUUUGAACCGCAUGGUUCAAAAGUGAAAGACGGUCUUGCUGUCACUUAUAGAUGGAUCCGCGCUGCAUUAGCUAGUUGGUAAGGUAACGGCUUACCAAGGCAACGAUGCAUAGCCGACCUGAGAGGGUGAUCGGCCACACUGGAACUGAGACACGGUCCAGACUCCUACGGGAGGCAGCAGUAGGGAAUCUUCCGCAAUGGGCGAAAGCCUGACGGAGCAACGCCGCGUGAGUGAUGAAGGUCUUCGGAUCGUAAAACUCUGUUAUUAGGGAAGAACAUAUGUGUAAGUAACUGUGCACAUCUUGACGGUACCUAAUCAGAAAGCCACGGCUAACUACGUGCCAGCAGCCGCGGUAAUACGUAGGUGGCAAGCGUUAUCCGGAAUUAUUGGGCGUAAAGCGCGCGUAGGCGGUUUUUUAAGUCUGAUGUGAAAGCCCACGGCUCAACCGUGGAGGGUCAUUGGAAACUGGAAAACUUGAGUGCAGAAGAGGAAAGUGGAAUUCCAGGUGUAGCGGUGAAAUGCGCAGAGAUAUGGAGGAACACCAGUGGCGAAGGCGACUUUCUGGUCUGUAACUGACGCUGAUGUGCGAAAGCGUGGGGAUCAAACAGGAUUAGAUCCCCUGGUAGUCCACGCCGUAAACGAUGAGUGCUAAGUGUUAGGGGGUUUCCGCCCCUUAGUGCUGCAGCUAACGCAUUAAGCACUCCGCCUGGGGAGUACGACCGCAAGGUUGAAACUCAAAGGAAUUGACGGGGACCCGCACAAGCGGUGGAGCAUGUGGUUUAAUUCGAAGCAACGCGAAGAACCUUACCAAAUC
rnacentral:rRNA from 1 species